UGGGGAGUUCUGGGGGCCAUAGGGUCUGCCUGAGUGUAGGAAUUGGAGACUGGGGGACUACAGGGAAGGGAGUCAGUGCCUGGGAGGGUGGGGUCUGAGUGUUUGGAGGGGCUGGAGAGGAUGUGGGGACAGAGCCUGUUGUACCGAGGGUAGAGCUUGUGGCAGAGUGGCCAGGGUCCAGGGCAGGAGGAACAGGACUGGGGUGCUCUCCAUGGGUGGGAGCUGGGUGUGUAGGUGGGCUAGGUCCCCAGGCUAGGCUUUCUGGGCCAACGGCCUCCACUGAAGCCUCAGCCAAGGCAGCAUCUACACUAGCCUCACUGAUGUGGCUCAGAGUCC
ensembl:lncRNA novel transcript, antisense to FAM65A